rnacentral:rRNA from 1 species
UGGAUGCGGGGGCUUCACCGCCUACCAAAUCCUGACAAACUCCGAAUGCCAGUAGUAUGAUUUACAGCAGUGAGUGACUGGGUGCUAAUGUCCAGUCGCAAAAGAGGAACAACUCAGACCAGCAACUAAGGUCCCGAAGAAUAUGCUAAGUUGAUCUAACGAUGUUUUGUUGCAGAGACAGCUAGGAUGUUAGCUUGGAAGCAGCUAUUCAUUCAAAGAGUGCGUAACAGCUCACUAGUCGAGCGACAGAGCGUGGAUAAUAAACGGGCAUCAAGCAUAUCACCGAAGUUCUGGGCGCGAGAGCGCGGUAGGGGAGCAUUCCAUUCAGCGUCGAAGCAGUUUCGUGAGGAAUUGUGGAGCGUAUGGAAAAGCAAAUGUAGGCAUGAGUAACGAUAAUGCGGGAGAGUAACCCGCACACCGCAAGACCAAGGUUUCCUGAUCAACGCUAAUCGGAUCAGGGUUAGUCGGGUCCUAAGGGUAAGCCGAACGGCGAUCUCGAUGGAUAAUCGGUUAAUAUUCCGAUACUAACAUAUACCUCGAUGGAGAGACGAAGGAACGUAAGUGCCGCCACCUGACGGAAUAGGUGGUUAAAGGGCGUAGGUAUAGGGGCAGAUUAAGAGUUAGUCCUUGCUGAAACCUGACAGUACAGAGAGCCUACGGGCAAUUUGAUAGAGCACCCAAGUCGACUUCCGAGAAAAUCUUCUAAGUUAUAGUAUAUGUUACCCGUACCGUAAACCGACACAGGUGGUCGAGGAGAGUAUCCUAAGGUGCUCGAGUGAAUCACGGUUAAGGAACUAGGCAAAUUAACCCCGUAACUUCGGGAAAAGGGGUCCCUAUGAAAGUAGGGCGCAGCGAAGAGGUCCAGGCGACUGUUUAUCAAAAACACAGGGCUCUGCAAAUUCGAAAGAAGACGUAUAGGGCCUGACACCUGCCCGGUGCUGGAAGGUUAAGAGGGGAUGUCAUCGCAAGAGAAGCAUUGAAUCGAAGCCCCAGUAAACGGCGGCCGUAACUAUAACGGUCCUAAGGUAGCGAAAUUCCUUGUCGGGUAAGUUCCGACCUGCACGAAUGGUGUAACGAUCUGGACACUGUCUCAACCGUGAGCUCGGUGAAAUUGUAGUCCCGGUGAUGAUGCCGGGUACCCGCAACGGGACGAAAAGACCCCGUGAACCUUUACUAUAGCUUAACGCUGAAUUUGGGUACACAAUGUGUAGGAUAGGCCGGAGGCUUUGAAGCGGGCACGCCAGUGUUCGUGGAGCCGACGUUGAAAUACGGCCCUUUGUGUAUUUGAGUUCUAACCCUGCGAAGGGGACACCGUUUGGUGGGUAGUUUGACUGGGGUGGUCGCCUCCAAAAGCGUAACGGAGGCUUCCCAAGGUACCCUCAGCACGAAUGGUAACCGUGCGCGGAGUGCAAUAGCAUAAGGGUGCUUGACUGUGAGACAUACAAGUCGACCAGGUACGAAAGUAGGGUAUAGUGAUCCGGUGGUUCUGCGUGGACUGGCCAUCGCUCAAAGGAUAAAAGGUACUCCGGGGAUAACAGGCUGAUCGCCGCCAAGAGCUCAUAUCGACGCGGCGGUUUGGCACCUCGAUGUCGGCUCGUCACAUCCUGGGGCUGGAGAAGGUCCCAAGGGUUCGGCUGUUCGCCGAUUAAAGUGGCACGCGAGCUGGGUUCAGAACGUCGUGAGACAGUUCGGUCUCUAUCUGUUGCGGGCGUAGGAAGAUUGAGGGGUCCUGACUUUAGUACGAGAGGACCGAGUUGGACGAACCUCCGGUGUAUCGGUUAUGCUGCCAAGUGUACUGCCGAGUAGCCGCGUUCGGUCUGGAUAAGCGCUGAAAGCAUCUAAGCGCGAAGCCAUCCCCGAGAUAAGUCUUCCCUUGAGGGGCGUAGGAGACUAUUACGUUGAUAGGCUGCAGGUGUAAAGACAGCAAUGUCAAAGCCGAGCAGUACUAAUUACCCGAUAGGCUUUCUU